rnacentral:tRNA from 2 species
GCCUCGGUAGUAUAGUCCGGUUAAGUAUUCUGCCCUCUCGAGGCAGAGACCCGAGUUCAAAUCUCGGCCGAGGCG